rnacentral:rRNA from 1 species
GACGAACGCUGGCGGCGUGCUUAACACAUGCAAGUCGAACGGAAAGGCCCUGCUUUUGUGGGGUGCUCGAGUGGCGAACGGGUGAGUAACACGUGAGUAACCUGCCCUUGACUUUGGGAUAACUUCAGGAAACUGGGGCUAAUACCGGAUAGGAGCUCCUGCUGCAUGGUGGGGGUUGGAAAGUUUCGGCGGUUGGGGGUGGCGUCGCGGCUUAUCAGCUUGUUGGUGGGGUAGUGGCUUACCAAGGCUUUGACGGGUAGCCGGCCUGAGAGGGUGACCGGCCACAUUGGGACUGAGAUACGGCCCAGACUCCUACGGGAGGCAGCAGUGGGGAAUAUUGCACAAUGGGCGGAAGCCUGAUGCAGCAACGCCGCGUGCGGGAUGACGGCCUUCGGGUUGUAAACCGCUUUCGCCUGUGACGAAGCGUGAGUGACGGUAAUGGGUAAAGAAGCACCGGCUAACUACGUG